rnacentral:lncRNA from 1 species
CCCUGCACGCCCGCUGCCGGGACGCCGCCGGACUCUGCGGCUGCCGGAGGAGGAGACCAGCCGAAGGCAGAGCCAGCACAACCCGGCUUCCUCUGCUCCCCGGCGGGAUUCUGCUCCUCCCCGGGUCGCGUUUUCUCCCGGGUAAAUGGGAAUGGCGGUACCUGCUAAGCGGAGAAAGGGUCCAUCCAGACGAGAGAGGAGCUCCGCGUUCUCCUGUACCCAUUCCUUGCCAUGUCCUCCGCGCUCCAGGCAGCAGGGUCUCAACUGUAGGAAGAGCCCUUGAUGAGGCUUCAUAGUGACUAGAAGCAAUGGGUCAGCCCCCAUCCCUGAAGCAUGCAAAAUGGGGCGUUCGUUCAUGUCUCUGACCGAUUUUCUGGGGUCUACUGAAGGAUCUAGGGUAGCCCCAAAAUGUCUCUGCAUGCUGUCAACAUCUCCCACUAUGCACAAAAUGUUUGAGAAUAGAGGACCUUAGUCUCAAACUGUGGAAGUGUGUUUCUGCAACCGGCCUAGUUCACAGACUGGGGUUCCACACAGGAAGACAAUCCAAGCAGUUUCCCAGCAUCUUAGUAAAACAAGGAUUUUUUUUCUCCAGUCACAAAAAGUUAAGAUUUGCCGGGCAUGAUGGCGCACGCCUUUAAUCCCAGCACUUGGGAGGCAGAGGCAGGCGGAUUUCUGAGUUCGAGGCCAGCCUGGUCUACAAAGUGAGUUCCAGGACAGCCAGGGCUAUACAGAGAAACCUGUCUCAGAAGAAAAAAAAAGUUAAGAUUAAUUUCCUAUACCUUAUUUGUUUGGAGACUUAGAAACAGCAGAAGGAAUUGGAAGUACCUUGACAUUUUACUUAACACCACCCCCACAUUCAUGGCCAGAAGCAACAAGGUAGGUAGGGUGUGGCAGCGCAGGCUUCCGACUCCCACGCCAGUGUCUUCCUCCCAUUAUUACCAAGAGCAGGUGUCAGCCGACCUGUGCAGGCGAUGAGCUGUUAUGGGCAUCUCAGAGGCCUUGCCUCUUUCUGGAGACUUGUCAUUGAGGACUGUCACUUUAGGGCAGAGUGGAUAUGAGUAGAAAGGAGGAAACUGACCAACUGGCCGCCCAGUACUUGAACCUCCCCCUCCCCCCCCCACCCUCAAUUCUAAAGUGUGGACCCUGGCUCUGGCCAACAGGUCUGUGGCUUUAGACAAAUAGCCCUACUUAGUUUCUGCCUCAUGCGUCAAAGAAGCAAGAAAGCUGGAAGGUCUAGCUUUGCUAUUAUGCCCGUCUGUAAGGCCAGGAGCUGAGCGC